rnacentral:tRNA from 1 species
GGAGAGAUGGCCGAGUGGCUGAAGGCGCACGCCUGGAAAGUGUGUAUACGCUAACCGCGUAUCGCGGGUUCGAAUCCCGCUCUCUCCGCCA